rnacentral:lncRNA from 1 species
GUAACAGGAAACUGCCUUCUGGAUUUGUGGAAAGUUCACCAGUAGGAAGCUCCUAUGGCAACUGGGAAGGUUAGCUUCCUGGCUGCUCACAAAGAUUUUCCUGCAUGCCACUGCUCUCCAGAAAUCCACCAACAUUCACGUAGACUUCUCAAUGAAUGGCACGGAAAGAUUCUUCUUAAGAAUAUGAAGACUGCACACAAGAGCAACUAGAGAGUAGAGUACUGACAACUCAAGGUAUCUGAACAUCAUUUUGUUUUGGAAGUUUGGCACACAUCAAACUCAGCUGUUACUGAAUAGGCCAGUGAUACCAAUAUCACUGAGUGUCCAGGGGACUCUCACUGCAUUAUUUUAAUUCCAAAGUUUAUUUUAAACUUUACUGGGGUAUAAUUGAAAUGCAAUAAACUACACAUACUUAAGGGCCGUAAUUUGUUGAGUUUUGACGUACUUAUACACUCUGAUAUGGUUUGGUUCUGUGUCCCCACCCAAAUCUCAUCUCUCAUCUUGAAUUAUAAUCCCCAUGUGUCAAAGGGGAGAAGUGAUUGGAUUAUGGGGGUGGUUCCCCCGUGCUAUUUUCCUGAUAGUGAGAUCUGAUGGUUUUAUAAGCUUCUGGCAUUUCCUCCGCUUGCACUUUCUUUCUCCUGCUGUCUUGUGAAGAAAGUGCCUGUUUCCCCUUUCGCCUUCCACCAUGAUUGUAAGUUUUCUGAGGCCUCCCCAGUAAUGCAGAGCUGUGAGUCAAUUAAACUUCUUUCUUUUAUAAAUUACCCAACCUCAGGUAGUAUUCUGUAUAGCAGUGUGAGAGUGGACUAAUACAAACUCAUAAAACCAUUACUGCAAUAAACGCCAAAGGUUUUCAUACUCCCAUUUGUAAGCAC